AGACCUCACGUCACAGAAACUUGCGACGUUUGCCCCCGAUUCGCGCGUCAGGUGCUCCGUCCCUUCUAGGUGGCAGAGGAGAGGGAAGGGUCCCGCCUGGUGGGGCCCUGAGAGCCAAUGGGCUGCGGUGCUCGAGUGUGGACGCCGCCCCCGCCUUCUGCGUCUACAGCCCGGGGUUCUGGGACCUUUGGAAACCGCUUUGGACAAAGCUGAGCAUCUCUUUCCCCACGCUGACCUCCCCCAUAGACUCUGGAUGGGGGUAAAUGAGGGUAAGGGGUGCCGUCACCGCUGGAGCCCCAGGAAACCGAAACAAUGAGCCAGCAGGCAAUGAAAAGGGCAGGCCCACCCCAGGCCAGCUUCAAAGCAGCGCCUCAGCUUCGUCAGCUCCCUUAGGUGCUGUGGAUCCCUUAGGACAAGGCUCUGUCCCUCAGAGCACUGAGCGCCAUCUAACGCUGUCCUCUUGGAGACGUUGUAUUCACCAGGUAAGAUGGAUUCAGCAUUGCACCCCAGAGUGCCUGACGCACAGCAGGGGCCACAUAAAUACAUCUGCUGGGCGCACGAACACUUCCUCCUUCCUUGCCACCAGCCAGCAUCACAACCAGCCUGGCCAGGCUCCCAGUCCAGCCCAGCCCAGCAGCUAA
rnacentral:lncRNA from 1 species